UCACUAGUUGGAUCUCAGGGUGAGCUCAGUUGGUCGGCCUAAUUGGUCAGAACUGGCUGACCCUCCCUUGUUUCUGAAUCCCGGUCGGAGUUUAUUCUUCGUUCGUGGACUUCAGAUCGUUUACCUUGAAAAAAUUAGAGUGUUCAAAGCGGGCGUUUGCUUGAAUACAUUAGCAUGGAAUAAUGGAGUAGGACCCUGGUUCUAUUUUGUUGGUUUUGGGGACCAGAGUAAUGAUUAAUAGGGAUAGUUGGGGGCAUUCAUAUUUAAUUGUCAGAGGUGAACUUCUUGGANNNANGAAAGAUGAACUUCUGCGAAAGCAUUUGCCAAGGAUGUUUUCAUUAAUCAAGAACGAAAGUUAGGGGAUCGAAGAUGAUCAGAUACCGUCGUAGUCUUAACCACAAACUAUGCCGACUAGGGAUUGGGAGCGGUUUGUUCAUUGACCCUCUCAGCACCUUACGAGAAGUCAAAGUUUUUGGGUUCCGGGGGGAGUAUGGUCGCAAGGCUGAAACUUAAAGGAAUUGACGGAGGGGCACCACCAGGAGUGGAGCCUGCGGCUUAAUUUGACUCAACACGGGAAAACUUACCAGGUCCAGACAUAGGAAGGAUUGACAGAUUGAGAGCUCUUUCUUGAUUCUAUGGGUGGUGGUGCAUGGCCGCUCUUAGUUGGUGGA
rnacentral:rRNA from 1 species